rnacentral:rRNA from 1 species
AGUGAACGCUGGCGGCAGGCCUAACACAUGCAAGUCGAACGGCAGCACAGUAAUAGCUGGCUGUUACGGGUGGCGAGUGGCGGACGGUUGAUGAAGACAUCGGAAUCUACUGUGUCGUGUGUGAUAACGUAGGGAAACUUACGCGAAGACCGGAUACGACGUACUUGUGAAAGCAGGGGAUCGUCUGACCUGUCGGGAUUGAAUGGGCCGAUGUCGGAUUAGCUAGUUGGCUGGGUAAAGGCCCAACAAGGCGACGAUCGGUAGCUGGUCUGAGAGGAUGAUUCGCCAGCCUGGCACUGAGACACAGUCCCGACUCCUACGGGAGGACGCAGUGGGGACUAUUGCACAAUGGGGGAAAGCGUGAUCCAGCGCUACCGCGUGGGUGCAGACGGACCCAGGGUUGUAAAGUCAUUUUGUUGGGAAAGAAAAGCAGCAGUUUCAUCCCGCGCUGUUAUGACGGUACCCAAAGAAUAAGCACCGGCUAACUUCGUG